UGGAGCAUGUGGCGUUAAUUCGAAGCAACGCGAAGAACCUUAUCCUGGGCUUGACAUGUAUGGAUUAGCUUUUUGAAAGAGAAGUAACGCUGCUUGCAGUGGAACAUACACAGGUGCUGCAUGGCUGUCGUCAGCUCGUGCUGUGAAGUGUCGGGUUAAGUCCCUUAACGAGCGAAACCCCUAUCACUAGUUGCCAGCGAGUCAUGUCGGGACUCUAGUGAGACUGCCGGUGUCAAACCGGAGGAAGGUGGGGAUGACGUCAAGGUCCUCACGGCCCUUAUGCCCAGGGCUGCACACGUGCUACAAUGGCGUAUACAAAGCGACGCGAGACCGCAAGGUGGAGCAAAUCGCAUAAAGUACGACCCCAGUUCGGAUUGUGGUCUGCAACUCGACCACAUGAAGUUGGAAUCGCUAGUAAUCGCGCAUCAGCUACGGCGCGGUGAAUGUGUUCCUCGAGCCUU
rnacentral:rRNA from 1 species